UAGGGAAUCUUCCACAAUGGACGCAAGUCUGAUGGAGCAACGCCGCGUGAGUGAAGAAGGUCUUCGGAUCGUAAAACUCUGUUGUUAGAGAAGAACACGAGUGAGAGUAACUGUUCAUUCGAUGACGGUAUCUAACCAGCAAGUCACGGCUAACUACGUGCCAGCAGCCGCGGUAAUACGUAGGUGGCAAGCGUUGUCCGGAUUUAUUGGGCGUAAAGGGAACGCAGGCGGUCUUUUAAGUCUGAUGUGAAAGCCUUCGGCUUAACCGGAGUAGUGCAUUGGAAACUGGAAGACUUGAGUGCAGAAGAGGAGAGUGGAACUCCAUGUGUAGCGGUGAAAUGCGUAGAUAUAUGGAAGAACACCAGUGGCGAAAGCGGCUCUCUGGUCUGUAACUGACGCUGAGGUUCGAAAGCGUGGGUAGCAAACAGGAUUAGAUACCCUGGUAGUCCACGCCGUAAACGAUGAGUGCUAGGUGUUGGAUCCUUUCCGGGAUUCAGUGCCGCAGCUAACGCAUUAAGCACUCCGCCUGGGGAGUACGACCGCAAGGUUG
rnacentral:rRNA from 1 species